UUGCGCCCUUUGGCUAUUCUGAAGGGCAUGCCUGUUUGAGUAUCAUGAACACCUCAACUCUCAUGGUUUGCCAUGAUGAGCUUGGACUUUGGGGGUCUUGCUGGCCUACGGUUGGCUCCUCUUAAAUGAAUCAGCUUGCCAGUGUUUGGUGGCGUCACAGGUGUGAUAAAUAUCUACGCUUGUGGUUUUCCGCCAGGUAACCUUCAGCAAUGGAGGUUCGCUGGGGCUCACAAAUGUCUCUCCUCAGCGAGGACAGCUUUUAACGUUUGAUCUCAAAUCAGGUAGGACUACCCGCUGAACUUAAGCAUAUCAAUAAGCGGAGG
rnacentral:rRNA from 1 species